AACGAACGCUGGCGGCAUGCCUAACACAUGCAAGUCGAACGAGACCUUCGGGUCUAGUGGCGCACGGGUGCGUAACGCGUGGGAAUCUGCCCUUGGGUUCGGAAUAACAGUUGGAAACGACUGCUAAUACCGGAUGAUGACGUAAGUCCAAAGAUUUAUCGCCCAAGGAUGAGCCCGCGUAGGAUUAGCUAGUUGGUGAGGUAAAGGCUCACCAAGGCGACGAUCCUUAGCUGGUCUGAGAGGAUGAUCAGCCACACUGGGACUGAGACACGGCCCAGACUCCUACGGGAGGCAGCAGUGUGGAAUAUUGGACAAUGGGCGAAAGCCUGAUCAAGCAAUGCCGCGUGAGUGAUGAAGGCCUUAGGGUUGUAAAGCUCUUUUACCCGGGAUGAUAAUGACAGUACCGGGAGAAUAAGCUCCGGCUAACUCCGUG
rnacentral:rRNA from 1 species